rnacentral:rRNA from 1 species
GGUUAAGCGACUAAGCGUACACGGUGGAUGCCCUGGCAGUCAGAGGCGAUGAAGGACGUGCUAAUCUGCGAUAAGCGUCGGUAAGGUGAUAUGAACCGUUAUAACCGGCGAUUUCCGAAUGGGGAAACCCAGUGUGAUUCGUCACACUAUCAUUAACUGAAUCCAUAGGUUAAUGAGGCGAACCGGGGGAACUGAAACAUCUAAGUACCCCGAGGAAAAGAAAUCAACCGAGAUUCCCCCAGUAGCGGCGAGCGAACGGGGAGGAGCCCAGAGCCUGAAUCAGUGUGUGUGUUAGUGGAAGCGUCUGGAAAGGCGCGCGAUACAGGGUGACAGCCCCGUACACAAAAAUGCACAUGCUGUGAGCUCGAUGAGUAGGGCGGGACACGUGGUAUCCUGUCUGAAUAUGGGGGGACCAUCCUCCAAGGCUAAAUACUCCUGACUGACCGAUAGUGAACCAGUACCGUGAGGGAAAGGCGAAAAGAACCCCGGCGAGGGGAGUGAAAAAGAACCUGAAACCGUGUACGUACAAGCAGUGGGAGCACAGAGCAAUCUGUGUGACUGCGUACCUUUUGUAUAAUGGGUCAGCGACUUAUAUUCUGUAGCAAGGUUAACCGAAUAGGGGAGCCGAAGGGAAACCGAGUCUUAACUGGGCGUUAAGUUGCAGGGUAUAGACCCGAAACCCGGUGAUCUAGCCAUGGGCAGGUUGAAGGUUGGGUAACACUAACUGGAGGACCGAACCGACUAAUGUUGAAAAAUUAGCGGAUGACUUGUGGCUGGGGGUGAAAGGCCAAUCAAACCGGGAGAUAGCUGGUUCUCCCCGAAAGCUAUUUAGGUAGCGCCUCGUGAAUUCAUCUCCGGGGGUAGAGCACUGUUUCGGCAAGGGGGUCAUCCCGACUUACCAACCCGAUGCAAACUGCGAAUACCGGAGAAUGUUAUCACGGGAGACACACGGCGGGUGCUAACGUCCGUCGUGAAGAGGGAAACAACCCAGACCGCCAGCUAAGGUCCCAAAGUCAUGGUUAAGUGGGAAACGAUGUGGGAAGGCCCAGACAGCCAGGAUGUUGGCUUAGAAGCAGCCAUCAUUUAAAGAAAGCGUAAUAGCUCACUGGUCGAGUCGGCCUGCGCGGAAGAUGUAACGGGGCUAAACCAUGCACCGAAGCUGCGGCAGCGACGCUGAUGCGUUGUUGGGUAGGGGAGCGUUCUGUAAGCCUGCGAAGGUGUGCUGUGAGGCAUGCUGGAGGUAUCAGAAGUGCGAAUGCUGACAUAAGUAACGAUAAAGCGGGUGAAAAGCCCGCUCGCCGGAAGACCAAGGGUUCCUGUCCAACGUUAAUCGGGGCAGGGUGAGUCGACCCCUAAGGCGAGGCCGAAAGGCGUAGUCGAUGGGAAACAGGUUAAUAUUCCUGUACUUGGUGUUACUGCGAAGGGGGGACGGAGAAGGCUAUGUUGGCCGGGCGACGGUUGUCCCGGUUUAAGCGUGUAGGCUGGUUUUCCAGGCAAAUCCGGAAAAUCAAGGCUGAGGCGUGAUGACGAGGCACUACGGUGCUGAAGCAACAAAUGCCCUGCUUCCAGGAAAAGCCUCUAAGCAUCAGGUAACAUCAAAUCGUACCCCAAACCGACACAGGUGGUCAGGUAGAGAAUACCAAGGCGCUUGAGAGAACUCGGGUGAAGGAACUAGGCAAAAUGGUGCCGUAACUUCGGGAGAAGGCACGCUGAUAUGUAGGUGAAGUCCCUCGCGGAUGGAGCUGAAAUCAGUCGAAGAUACCAGCUGGCUGCAACUGUUUAUUAAAAACACAGCACUGUGCAAACACGAAAGUGGACGUAUACGGUGUGACGCCUGCCCGGUGCCGGAAGGUUAAUUGAUGGGGUUAGCGCAAGCGAAGCUCUUGAUCGAAGCCCCGGUAAACGGCGGCCGUAACUAUAACGGUCCUAAGGUAGCGAAAUUCCUUGUCGGGUAAGUUCCGACCUGCACGAAUGGCGUAAUGAUGGCCAGGCUGUCUCCACCCGAGACUCAGUGAAAUUGAACUCGCUGUGAAGAUGCAGUGUACCCGCGGCAAGACGGAAAGACCCCGUGAACCUUUACUAUAGCUUGACACUGAACAUUGAGCCUUGAUGUGUAGGAUAGGUGGGAGGCUUUGAAGUGUGGACGCCAGUCUGCAUGGAGCCGACCUUGAAAUACCACCCUUUAAUGUUUGAUGUUCUAACGUUGACCCGUAAUCCGGGUUGCGGACAGUGUCUGGUGGGUAGUUUGACUGGGGCGGUCUCCUCCUAAAGAGUAACGGAGGAGCACGAAGGUUGGCUAAUCCUGGUCGGACAUCAGGAGGUUAGUGCAAUGGCAUAAGCCAGCUUGACUGCGAGCGUGACGGCGCGAGCAGGUGCGAAAGCAGGUCAUAGUGAUCCGGUGGUUCUGAAUGGAAGGGCCAUCGCUCAACGGAUAAAAGGUACUCCGGGGAUAACAGGCUGAUACCGCCCAAGAGUUCAUAUCGACGGCGGUGUUUGGCACCUCGAUGUCGGCUCAUCACAUCCUGGGGCUGAAGUAGGUCCCAAGGGUAUGGCUGUUCGCCAUUUAAAGUGGUACGCGAGCUGGGUUUAGAACGUCGUGAGACAGUUCGGUCCCUAUCUGCCGUGGGCGCUGGAGAAUUGAGGGGGGCUGCUCCUAGUACGAGAGGACCGGAGUGGACGCAUCACUGGUGUUCGGGUUGUCAUGCCAAUGGCACUGCCCGGUAGCUAAAUGCGGAAGAGAUAAGUGCUGAAAGCAUCUAAGCACGAAACUUGCCCCGAGAUGAGUUCUCCCUGACUCCUUGAGAGUCCUGAAGGAACGUUGAAGACGACGACGUUGAUAGGCCGGGUGUGUAAGCGCAGCGAUGCGUUGAGCUAACCGGUACUAAUGAACCGUGAGGCUUAACCUU